UGGAUAGCAUUUGCUUUGUCUUUUAUGGGAUUUUGUUUGCAUGCAUAUGUGCAGACAACAGGCAUGGAAUUCCAGGAGCCUCUGCUUGUAUAUUCUCCUAUUUUUCCUACAUGCUUUGAUCAAAACCAGAUCCCAAUGAUUAAUUCAAGAGGAUUUGUGAAGCUAUCUCACACUAAGCAGUCCAUCUUUUCUUAUCCCUGGACAUGAAAUUUUAAAUGAAAAGGUUUGCCAGUUCAUAGAAUUAUUUGAUUUGAAAACCAUGAUUUAAAUCAAAGCUUGUGAAAGCCAUCUAACACAUACUACAUGUGAGUCAAUGGUUCUGUGAGAGGAAGAUGCCUUGAAAGAUGGAGUCAAUAAACACAAACUUCACUGUCACUGAAUUUGUGUUCCUGGGGUUGUCCUCUGAACCAAAGAUACAGCUUAUUCUUUUUAUUAUGUUCUUGUUCUAUUUAUCAACGGUGGCUGGAAAUGUUAUAAUCAUCACUAUUAUCUAGAUGGAACCUCUCCUCCAAACCCCCAUGUACUUCUUCCUCACUAAUUUAUCCUUUCUGGACAUUUGCUACACAUCCACCAAUGUCCCCCAAAUGCUGUCCAACAUGGCGGGGAAAAAGAACACCAUCUCAUUCUCCAGCUGCGCUACUCAGAUGUACUUCUCCCUCUCCUUUGGAAUGAUUGUGUCCUCCUUGGUGUCAUGGCUUAUGACAGAUAUGUAGCCAUUUGUCAUCCUCUUCAUUAUACCUUCAUUAUGGACCAAAACACCUGCAUUCAACUGGCAGUUAUUUCUUGGUCCAGUAGCUUCCUGAGUUCCAUGGUUAUCAAUGUUCUCACGUUGAGUUUGCCCUACUGUGGGCCUAAUAUCCUGAAUCACUUUUUCUGUGAGGUACUUUCUGUCCUGAGGUUGGCUUGCACCAACACCUCAUUCACAGAGCUGGUUGUUUUUAUCUUCAGUAUCAUCAUUGUCUUCAUCCCUUUCCUCCUCAUUGUUGUUUCCUAUGUCCGGAUCCUUCAAUCUGUUCUCAGGAUGCGGUCAGCCUCUGGGCGGUAUCAGGCAUUAUCCACCUGUACCUCCCAUUUGACAGUGGUAACCUUAUUUAUGGGACUGCCAUCUUCAUGGACAUGAGACCACAGUCGAGGUCCUCCUGGGCUGGCGGCAAGAUCAUUGCGGUUUUCUACACGGUGGUCACACCCAUGCUUAACCCCUUGAUUUACAGCCUGAGGAACCAAGAUGUGAAAGGAGCUCGAAGGAGAGCUAUUGCAAAGCAGAGGAUGUGACAGCUGUUAAUGAGACACUAACCUUCACUCUUAAUCUAACAUAAUUACCUUCUGAUUAUGAAGUGAUAGAGUAAAAAGUAGCUUAGACAGUCAACAUCUGCCCUGCCAUUUAUAAAGGACACAUAAACCCAGGUGUAAAUUCAGCAGAAAAAAAUGUUUCCUCCAAGCACAUGGCAGGGCUUUAAUGUGUCCAAACAACUCCCUUCAUUGAGCUACUGCUCUUAUGUUACUCACUGAAAAACAAAACAAAACAAAACAAAACACCUGUUUCUUUAAAGUCACAGACUAUCUGAAAUUAAUUUUUUGAAAUUUUGUCAGUGAGGUGAAAUAUUUUUCUCUGUGCUUGAGAAUCUAAGUCACUUUGAUCCAGAGGAGAAAUCUCAAUUUCCAACUCAGGUGCAGGAAUUCAGAUUAAAGGUUUUUUAAUGCAACAGUCCGCAUCUGUGUUAAUUUUGUAGUUUCCAGGAAAACAAGACCCCGCAUCUACUUUUUGGUUUGGACUUAUCAUUGUUCCCUUUGCGUAUCCUACUUUGUAAUAUUCUAUCAAAAUAUUGCUUCAUUUAAAUUUCACCUAAACUCAUUUCUUCCUACAAAUCCUGUGAUAGCUCUAUUUCUUCCUGUGUUUGAAGAAAUAGUCCAUGGUUCUCCUGAUGUGUGUUCCCUAUCUUUGAAAUGGGUCAGAAGCAUCUUAAUUUGUCUAUGUAUAAGUUUGUUCCUGGUGACCUUAGACUAAUUGUGUAUACAAGAGGAUGGCAAUGAUCAGAAGCAGAAGAUUUGGUCACAUAUUAAUUAACAUGUUAAAGGAUUCAUUUAUUCAUUGAUAGCCUAUUAUUGUAUGACUAUGUAAUAUAAUGUUAAACAGAAUAGAAAUGUGUCUUUUCCUCAAAGCAUAUAUAUGUCAUAUACUUAUUGUCUAUGUUAUAUACAUUAUACAUAAAUUGACAAAUUUUGAUAGCUGUAAUAAAGAAAUAAUUUUCAAGAGGCAGUAAUAGGCAAUAGGUAAGAUGUCCUCCUCUGAGGAGGUUGCAUGCAAGGACCAGAAAGAGAUAUAAGAGAAAGAUUGAGGUCUUUCUUAGUAAGGAGAUGUUGGACCAAAACUGGAGAUGUAAAAGAGUGGUGCUGCCUUUGAGGAAAUAAACCAGAGCAUUGGAGGUCUGGCUGGGGAAGCAGCUGCUAGCCCAUGCAAGGCUGAGGGACUGUGGGGAGCAGUAGAGGCUUAUUCUUAGUAAAAUGUAAGUAUUCUGAAGAAGAAUGAUACAGCACAGCUAACGUUUUCAUCAGAUUUUUCUGUGUGGUGUGUGGUGGACCUUAACUAGCAGCACACAUUUGUGAAAAAGAGCAUUUCCAGCAUUUUGAUGCUUUUCAGCCAGUAUGUUGAAGGAAAAUUAUUCUUUGAAGUAGAAGAGUAGCUAAAUAUAAUUUAGUAUUAAUAAAAUUAAUAAAUGAUUAAUAUUAUUAAUAUUUAAUUAAUA
ensembl:lncRNA novel transcript